rnacentral:rRNA from 1 species
ACUCCUACGGGAGGCAGCAGUGGGAAUCUUGGACAAUGGGGGCACCCUGAUCCAGCCAUGCCGCGUGAGUGAUGAAGGCCUUAGGGUCGUAAAGCUCUUUCGCCUGUGAAGAUAAUGACGGUAGCAGGUAAAGAAACCCGCGUAAUCCGUGCCAGCAGCCGCGGUAAUACGGAGGGGGUUAGCGUUGUUCGGAAUUACUGGGCGUAAAGCGCACGUAGGCGGAUCGGAAAGUUGGGGGUGAAAU